UAGCUGAACCGGUUUCUUGGAUGCUU
rnacentral:piRNA from 1 species